rnacentral:rRNA from 1 species
UACGUAGGGGGGCUAGCGUUGUCCGGAAUCAUUGGCGUAAAGAGCGUGUAGGCGGCCCGGUAAGUCCGCUGUGGAAAGUACCAGGGCUCAACCCGUGGGAUGACCGGUCGAUACUCUGCCGGACUGAGAGUUCGGAAGAGGGCGAGUGGAAUUCCCGGUGUAGCGGUGAAAGUGACUGCAGAUAUCGGGAGGAACACCUAUGGCGAAGGCGGUCUCUGGCGAUGUCCUGACGGCUGAGGAAGCGAAAGGUGUCGGGG